rnacentral:rRNA from 1 species
GUGGGUGGCUCGAAUCUGCGGGAGGAUUCAGUCGGACGGGAGCGGAGCGCAAUCUCGGGGCUCCGCCCGAGCACACUGGCUCGCGAACCCGCUGGGUAAGACGGGUCGCGGCGAGUAACCAACCCCGCCCGUCUUGAAACACGGACCAAGGAGUGUAACAUGUGCGCGAGUCAUGGGGACUUGAACAGUCCCAAAGGCGUAAUACAAGUGAAGGCCGGCCGUCGAGAGCCGGGAUCCCGCGCUGCGGGGGUCCGAGCGCACACGUUGCUACCCGAAAGAUGGUGAACUAUGCCCGGCCGGGGUGAGGUCAGGGGAAACUCUGAUGGAGGCCCGUAACGCUUCUGACGUGCAAAUCGAUGGCCUGUGCCGGGUAUAGCGGCGAAAGACUAAUCGAACCAUCUAGUAGCUGGUUCCCUCCGAAGUUUCCCUCAGGAUAGCUGGCGCUCGUAAAGUUGCAUACGAUAAAGCGAA